rnacentral:lncRNA from 1 species
AAAAUGUGUAAAAAUAAUAGAAAAGAUACUAUGAUAUUUGGGCCAAGAAGGAUUUCCUUAAUAAAACAAAAAGAAGGGCAGUUUAUAAAAUAUAGCAAUAAGCAUUUCUGUUCUUAUCACAGCAGAAAGUCUUUGUUCAACAAAAACACCACAAACAAAAGUUAAGAUGCAGAGAUAAACACUUGGAGCAGAGUUUCAGGCACUUGGAAUGUGGGUAUCCCAUAUUGGAGUGCCUGGGUUCAAGUUUUGGCUCCAACCUCAACUUUAGCGUCUAGCUAAUGUGCACUCCUGGAGGCAGCAGGUGAUGGCUCGAGUGUUAAAGGCCCUGCCACUCACAUGGGAGGCCUGGACUGAGUUCCUGGCUCCUGGCUUUGGUAGGGCCCAGCCUUGGCUGUUGCAGCCAUUUGGGGAGUGAACCACCAGACGGUAAAUCUCUUUCUCUCUGCCUCUCAAAAAAUAAAAAUGAGUCAGACCAAGGGAGAUAAUUUAACAAAUGUAACAGAAAAAGGCUAAUGACCAAAGUAGAGCAGUUUACAAAUCACGAAGUACAAAACCAAUUAAGAGAAAAUAGUACUAACAAAAGAAAGAAUAGGCAAAUCUUUGAAAAACCAAUAUAGUGGCCAAUACCUAUUGAACAGAAGAACGUAUGAAAUCAUGUUCAUUGUCCCCAGCUCUAUGAAAAGCACUAAUAAAACUCACAGUGUGAUGCCAUUUUCAGUAUUGCUGAUGAGGUGCCACAGGAGGCCUUAUGUGUUGGUACAACCUGAGGCAAUGUGUGGUGAAAAUGACCAUGCACACACCUAAUUGGUUGCAGGAACCCGAUCACUGGGCUGUUGCCACCACCGCUCAGGAGGUGCAGCAGCAGGAAGCUGGACUCGGGAGCUGGAACUGGAAGCUGACAGAGGAACUCUGAUGUAGAACAAUGCCAAACACCCACUCACCCCUCAUAUAGAAAUGUUUAUACUGAAGAGAUUUUGGUUAUUGGAAUAGCAAUUAAACUUUGUGAUUACAAUUAAAAUGAGGCAUUUAGUAAUUGAUUAAAAUUUGUUUUAAGUUGAAUUCUCACUAUAUUUAUAUAUGUAGAAUAUGAAAAUGUACAAUACCAUAAUAGUCACCUUAUGUUUAUAAAUAAUAAAUCUUUUAAAAAGUAUGUAUCA